GAUUUUAGUGAUCUGCUGUAUCUGUUCAGUUUCAAGAGUCUUCAAAUGACUGAUAUAUGCCACGCAAGUGAUUAACCGUGUUUCAAGAGUCUACAACUAAUAAUACUUGGAACAAUUGUUCUCAUGUUUAGGAGUUAUCGGACUUGGCAAGCCAACAACAAAGGAUCUCGAAAGUCUCUAAGAUGGAAAGAAAGUAUAUGUUCUCGCGAACCGGAAAUGCUUGAAUGUGGCUAUUACGUCAUGAAGUACAUGUAUCAAAUAGUUUUACUUUGAUUACAAAGUAUUAGUAAUGUGGAAGAGAUAUUUUCUCCAAACCCGUACACUCAAGAGGAGAUCGAUGAUGUUCGAGAAAAAAUGGAGUAGAUAUUUUAUUAGUAGUUGUUUGUAGUCAUUUUCUAGUUUUCAGAGAUAGAAAUUAAACUAUAACAAAUUGUAGGCUAUUUUUUGGAAUACAAUUAUUUACAAUUGUUGAACCAACUUUCUUGUUUGAAUUAAUACAAAAAUAUAUUCGCAAU